CGGUGGUCCGGAAAGUGGCUCAGGUGAAGUCUUCUUUGACGUGUCUUCUGUUGUCUCUUUGUACCUGUGGACGGAAAGCGAGCAAAGCCUCGCAGGUUUCCUUUACCUACGCCCAACAUGCCCCCAGGAUAAACCUAAGAGAGUAGAGGAAAAGAUUUUCUUACCCAGCAGGCAUUAGAUGUUACAGCAAAAUAAUUUAAUUUUAGAAUCAGGCCCAAGGUGAAUGAAGAAAGGAAAUGAGUACCGG